rnacentral:rRNA from 1 species
GACGAACGCUGGCGGCGUGCUUAACACAUGCAAGUCGAACGGAAAGGCCCUGCUUUUGUGGGGUGCUCGAGUGGCGAACGGGUGAGUAACACGUGAGUAACCUGCCCUUGACUUUGGGAUAACUUCAGGAAACUGGGGCUAAUACCGGAUAGGAGCUCCUGCUGCAUGGUGGGGGUUGGAAAGUUUCGGCGGUUGGGGAUGGACUCGCGGCUUAUCAGCUUGUUGGUGGGGUAGUGGCUUACCAAGGCUUUGACGGGUAGCCGGCCUGAGAGGGUGACCGGCGACGUGGGGGCUGGGGUGCGGCCCGGAGUGCUGCGGGGGGCAGCGGUGGGGAGUGUUGCGCAGUGGGCGGAAGCCUGAUGCAGCAGCGCCGCGUGCGGGAUGACGGCCUUCGGGUUGUAGACCGCUUUCGCCUGUGACGAAGCGUGAGUGACGGUAAUGGGUAAAGAAGCACCGGCUAACUACGUG